rnacentral:rRNA from 1 species
AGCAUGGCAACAUGUGGAGCUGACUGUUACUAAUAGGUCGAGGGCUUAAUCUG